UGAGGAGGUGAAGGCAUCUGGAGAGGUGAAGGCAUCUGGGGAGGUGAAGGGGUAGCAUCUGGAGGUGAAGGCAUCUAGGGAGGUGAAGGGGUAGCAUCUGGAGAGGUGAAGGGGUAGCAUCUGGAGAGGUGAAGGCAUCUGGGGAGGUGAAGGCAUCUGUGGAGGUGAAGGCAUCUGGAGAGGUGAAGGCAUCUGGGGAGGUGAAGGCAUCUGGGGAGGUGAAGGCAUCUGGGGAGGUGAAGGCAUCUUGGGAGGUGAAGGGGUAGCAUCUGGAGAGGUGAAGGCAUCUGGGGAGGUGAAGGGGUAGCAUCUGGAGAGGUGAAGGGGUAGCAUCUGGAGAGGUGAAGGCAUCUGGGGAG